rnacentral:misc_RNA from 1 species
AAAAAAGCUUCUCUCUGCUAUCUUUAUCAUAUGAAUAUGAUACAGGAACACGUGGUGUCCGUUUUCCAACAGCAUGAGGUUUAAUUCCAGAACGCCUCUUCUUCAACAAUGACAGGCAGCCAUAAUUUGUUGGAAGUGACUGUGAUUGUGAAGCAUCUCCAAAAUGUGCAUCCAAUCCUUUAGAGUUGUUACUUCGUGACUUUCCACGCAGUCGCUUUUGA